rnacentral:rRNA from 1 species
GAUGAACGCUAGCUACAGGCUUAACACAUGCAAGUCGAGGGGCAGCAUGGUCUUAGCUUGCUAAGGCCGAUGGCGACCGGCGCACGGGUGAGUAACACGUAUCCAACCUGCCGUCUACUCUUGGACAGCCUUCUGAAAGGAAGAUUAAUACAAGAUGGCAUCAUGAGUCCACAUGUUCACAUGAUUAAAGGUAUUCCGGUAGACGAUGGGGAUGCGUUCCAUUAGAUAGUAGGCGGGGUAACGGCCCACCUAGUCUUCGAUGGAUAGGGGUUCUGAGAGGAAGGUCCCCCACAUUGGAACUGAGACACGGUCCAAACUCCUACGGGAGGCAGCAGUGAGGAAUAUUGGUCAAUGGGCGAGAGCCUGAACCAGCCAAGUAGCGUGAAGGAUGACUGCCCUAUGGGUUGUAAACUUCUUUUAUAAAGGAAUAAAGUCGGGUAUGGAUACCCGUUUGCAUGUACUUUAUGAAUAAGGAUCGGCUAACUCCGUGCCAGCAGCCGCGGUAAUACGGAGGAUCCGAGCGUUAUCCGGAUUUAUUGGGUUUAAAGGGAGCGUAGAUGGAUGUUUAAGUCAGUUGUGAAAGUUUGCGGCACAACCGUAAAAUUGCAGUUGAUACUGGAUAUCUUGAGUGCAGUUGAGGCAGGCGGAAUUCGUGGUGUAGCGGUGAAAUGCUUAGAUAUCACGAAGAACUCCGAUUGCGAAGGCAGCCUGCUAAGCUGCAACUGACAUUGAGGCUCGAAAGUGUGGGUAUCAAACAGGAUUAGAUACCCUGGUAGUCCACACGGUAAACGAUGAAUACUCGCUGUUUGCGAUAUACAGCAAGCGGCCAAGCGAAAGCGUUAAGUAUUCCACCUGGGGAGUACGCCGGCAACGGUGAAACUCAAAGGAAUUGACGGGGGCCCGCACAAGCGGAGGAACAUGUGGUUUAAUUCGAUGAUACGCGAGGAACCUUACCCGGGCUUAAAUUGCAGAUGAAUUACGGUGAAAGCCGUAAGCCGCAAGGCAUCUGUGAAGGUGCUGCAUGGUUGUCGUCAGCUCGUGCCGUGAGGUGUCGGCUUAAGUGCCAUAACGAGCGCAACCCUUGUUGUCAGUUACUAACAGGUUCCGCUGAGGACUCUGACAAGACUGCCAUCGUAAGAUGUGAGGAAGGUGGGGAUGACGUCAAAUCAGCACGGCCCUUACGUCCGGGGCUACACACGUGUUACAAUGGGGGGUACAGAGGGCCGCUACCACGCGAGUGGAUGCCAAUCCCAAAAACCUCUCUCAGUUCGGACUGGAGUCUGCAACCCGACUCCACGAAGCUGGAUUCGCUAGUAAUCGCGCAUCAGCCACGGCGCGGUGAAUACGUUCCCGGGCCU